rnacentral:rRNA from 1 species
GAUGAACGCUGGCGGCGUGCCUAAUGCAUGCAAGCCGAACGGCCUGAUUUAUCAGGCAGUGGCGGACGGGUGAGUAACGCGUAAGAACUUACCCUAAAGUGGGGGACAACCUCGAGAAAUCGGGGCUAAUACCGCAUACGCUCCGCAAGGAGGAAAGCUACGGCGCUUUAGGAUGGGCUUGCGUCCGAUUAGCUAGUUGGUGAGGUAAUGGCCCACCAAGGCUUAGAUCGGUAGCUGGUCUGAGAGGAUGAUCAGCCACACUGGAAUUGAGAUACGGUCCAGACUCCUACGGGAGGCAGCAGCAGGGAAUAUUGCGCAAUGGGUGAAAGCCUGACGCAGCAACGCCGCGUGGGGGAUGACGGCUUUCGAGUUGUAAACCCCUUUUCUUGGGGAAGAUAAUGACGGUACUCAAGGAAUAAGUCUCGGCUAACUACGUGCCAGCAGCCGCGGUAAGACGUAGGAGGCGAGCGUUAUCCGGAUUUACUGGGCGUAAAGGGCGUGUAGGUGGUUCUCCAAGUCUUUGGUGAAAUCUCCUGGCUUAACUGGGAGGCUGCCAGAGAAACUAGAGAACUUGAGGGCAGAAUAGGGGAGUGGAAUUCCCGGUGUAGUGGUGAUAUGCGUAGAGAUCGGGAGGAACACCAGUGGCGAAAGCGGCUCUCUGGUCUGUACCUGACACUGAGGCGCGAAAGCGUGGGGAGCAAACAGGAUUAGAUACCCUGGUAGUCCACGCUGUAAACGAUGGAUACUAGGUAUGGGGGGUAUCGACCCCCUCCGUGCCGAAGCUAACGCUUUAAGUAUCCCGCCUGGGGACUACGGCCGCAAGGCUA